GACGAAGGAUGCAAGCGUUAUCCGGAUUCAUUGGGUUUAAAGGGAGCGUAGGUGGCCUUAUAAGUCAGUGGUGAAAUCUCUGGGCUUAACCCAGAAAUUGCCAUUGAUACUGUAGGGCUUGAGUAUAGUUCCGUUGGCGGAAUAUGACAUGUAGUGGUGAAAUACAUAGAGAUGUCAUAGAACACCGAUUGCGAAGGCAGCUGACGAAACUAUAACUGACAACUGAGGCUCGAAAAGUGUGGGGAUCAAACAGG
rnacentral:rRNA from 1 species